GAAGCAACAAAUGCCCUGCUUCCAGGAAAAGCCUCUAAGCAUCAGGUAACAUCAAAUCGUACCCCAAACCGACACAGGUGGUCAGGUAGAGAAUACCAAGGCGCUUGAGAGAACUCGGGUGAAGGAACUAGGCAAAAUGGUGCCGUAACUUCGGGAGAAGGCACGCUGAUAUGUAGGUGAAGCGACUUGCUCGUGGAGCUGAAAUCAGUCGAAGAUACCAGCUGGCUGCAACUGUUUAUUAAAAACACAGCACUGUGCAAACACGAAAGUGGACGUAUACGGUGUGACGCCUGCCCGGUGCCGGAAGGUUAAUUGAUGGGGUUAGCGGUAACGCGAAGCUCUUGAUCGAAGCCCCGGUAAACGGCGGCCGUAACUAUAACGGUCCUAAGGUAGCGAAAUUCCUUGUCGGGUAAGUUCCGACCUGCACGAAUGGCGUAAUGAUGGCCAGGCUGUCUCCACCCGAGACUCAGUGAAAUUGAACUCGCUGUGAAGAUGCAGUGUACCCGCGGCAAGACGGAAAGACCCCGUGAACCUUUACUAUAGCUUGACACUGAACAUUGAGCCUUGAUGUGUAGGAUAGGUGGGAGGCUUUGAAGUGUGGACGCCAGUCUGCAUGGAGCCGACCUUGAAAUACCACCCUUUAAUGUUUGAUGUUCUAACGUUGGCCCGUUAUCCGGGUUGCGGACAGUGUCUGGUGGGUAGUUUGACUGGGGCGGUCUCCUCCUAAAGAGUAACGGAGGAGCACGAAGGUUGGCUAAUCCUGGUCGGACAUCAGGAGGUUAGUGCAAUGGCAUAAGCCAGCUUGACUGCGAGCGUGACGGCGCGAGCAGGUGCGAAAGCAGGUCAUAGUGAUCCGGUGGUUCUGAAUGGAAGGGCCAUCGCUCAACGGAUAAAAGGUACUCCGGGGAUAACAGGCUGAUACCGCCCAAGAGUUCAUAUCGACGGCGGUGUUUGGCACCUCGAUGUCGGCUCAUCACAUCCUGGGGCUGAAGUAGGUCCCAAGGGUAUGGCUGUUCGCCAUUUAAAGUGGUACGCGAGCUGGGUUUAGAACGUCGUGAGACAGUUCGGUCCCUAUCUGCCGUGGGCGCUGGAGAACUGAGGGGGGCUGCUCCUAGUACGAGAGGACCGGAGUGGACGCAUCACUGGUGUUCGGGUUGUCAUGCCAAUGGCACUGCCCGGUAGCUAAAUGCGGAAGAGAUAAGUGCUGAAAGCAUCUAAGCACGAAACUUGCCC
rnacentral:rRNA from 1 species